GAGCCCUUGAAUGGUAAAGCCGCGAAUGGCUCAUUACAACAGCCACAGUUUAUUGGGUCUCCAUUUACUUGGAUAACUGAGCUAAUUGUUGAGCUAAUACACGCACCAAAGCUUCGACCUCACGGGAGGAGCGCAUUUAUUAGAACAAAACCAAUCGGACUUCGGUCCGUCCAUUGGUGAAUCUAAAUAACUUAGCCGAUCGCAUGGUCUCGCACCGGCGACUCACCUUUCAAAUGUCUGCCUUAUCACCUUUCGAUGGUAGUUUAUACGCCUACCAUGGGUUUUACGGGUAACGGAGAAUAAGGGUUCGACUCCGGAGAGGGAGCCUGAGAAACGGCUACCACAUCCAAGGAAGGCAGCAGGCACGCAAAUUACCCACUCCCGGCACGGGGAGGUAGUGACGAAAAAUAACGAGGCGGUUCUCUAUGAGGCCCGCCAUCGGAAUGGGUACAAUCUAAA
rnacentral:rRNA from 1 species